AUGGCUGCCCAAUUAAUGAAACUAUGCAGCUCUGGGAGAGUAUUAGUGCCUCUAUUUGUGGUGGGUUUUUUAGCAGCCACGACAGUUUUGUAUCGGUUUCAGGAUUUUCCUUCUGGGAGAUUCUAUUCAUCGGUGUCGUGGCCCAAAAGUCCACAUUCUGGAAAUCUGAUGAUGAAUAGUAGUUUUGAUUUGGAGAAGGGAGUUGACAUUAGUGCUAGUAAUUUGGAAGAGGAGGGCACACCUCAUCACGAAAGACGUUCAGUAACAAGAAAUGACAGUAGCAUGGAGAACGAGGCAGAGCAAUUUUAUGUCUUCCAUAGUAAUACUACACAGAAUAAUGAUCAGAAGCACCUCGCUAGCUUAAAUCUGGAGUAUAACAGCAGUGUAACCGUUUCUACAAAUAAUUUUACUGUAGUUAGAUCAACUCCAAUGGAUAGAGUAGAGGUUUUGAUUAACAGAUCAAACACUUCUGCAUCCAAAAGCAACUCACAUACGAACAGAUCAAAACGGGCCGUAGAGUUGCAGGGUAAUCUGAAGAAUGACUCAUUCAACAUUGAGAAGUAUUUAAGAAGGAUGAGAAGGGUCAACUUGAUCACCUUGUUGCAGAUGAAAUCCAUGUUGCUUAGCAGUCCGAAGUAUUCUAAAUCAGUGAGGCAGGAAUGGUCAGCAGUACGUGAUAAUGAGCUUCUAUAUGCUAGCUCACAGAUUAAGAACACCCCCGUUUUAAGAAGUGUUGCAGACUUGCAUGCUCCUCUUUUCCGGAAUGUCUCUGUAUUUAAAAGGAGCUAUGACUUGAUGGAACAAAUUCUUAAAAUAUAUAUAUACAAAGACGGAAAGAAGCCCAUAUUUCACCAACCAGGGCUAACGGGAAUAUAUGCAGGAGAAGGGUGGUUUAUGGAGCUGAUACAGAGAAGUAAACACUUCACUGUAGAAGACCCUAGGAAAGCUCAUCUAUAUUAUUUACCCUUCAGUUCUACGACGUUGCGCUGGACCAUAAAUGAUGCCAAGUUACAUAACCCCAAGAGCUUGGAGGAUUAUCUCAAAGAAUAUGUGGAUUUGAUCAGGAAUAAAUAUAGCUAUUGGAAUGCUACUGGGGGAGCAGAUCACUUUUUUGUUGCUUGUCAUGACUGGGCUUUGCGUAUAACGACGAAGCAUAUGAGCAGCUGCAUUAGAGCUUUGUGCAACGCCAAUGUAGCAAGAGGAUUUAGUAUAGGCAACGAUGUUAGUAUACCGGUAACGUUUAUUCAUGAUGAAGAUGACCCUUCAAGAGAUAUUGGAGGAAAACCACCUUCAGAGAGAGAUACAUUAGCCUUCUUCGCUGGAAAAAUACACGGUUAUCUCCGACCAUUAUUGUUAAAGUAUUGGGAGAACAAGGUAUCUGAUAUGAAGAUCUUUGGUCCAAUGUCCCAUAAUUCUGAAGGAGAAACAACUUAUGAAGAGUACAUGAAGAGCAGCAAGUAUUGCAUUUGUGCAAGGGGAUACCAAGUCCACUCCCCCAGGGUGGUGGAGUCCAUUUUGUACGGGUGUAUUCCGGUGAUAAUUGCUGACAAUUACGUACCCCCUUUCUUCGAGAUGCUAGAUUGGGAGACAUUUGCUGUUUUCGUGCAGGAAAAAGACAUCCCAAACCUAAGGAGUAUUCUACUUUCUAUCUCAGAAGACAAGUACCUUGAUAUGCAACACAGGUUGACAAUGGUGCAAAGGCAUUUCAUAUGGCACAAAACUCCACAGAAGUAUGACUUGUUUCACAUGAUCCUUCACUCCCUUUGGUCUAGCCGUGUUUCUCGGAUAAGGCCCUAGCUUGUAGGGUAGUCUUGGUAGAACCCAUACUUAAUUUCGGCUCCCAGCUAGCGGUUCUACAAGCAACAAAAACUGGUGGUAGCAAUUCAGACCACUUCGUCACCUAGCUGAGAGACUUUCUCCCCAAGUUUUCUCUCGGUGCAUGUUAGCUUAACGUGCACCGUAGCCAUGGCAAGGAAAUCUGGCUCGAAAUCUCAAAGCAGCAAGCAUGGAAAUAGCAAAGGAAAACCUCGAGGUCCAUCAUCAGAUUCACAAGAUUUGAAAACACGCAGUAUUGAGGAGGUUAUGGGGGUAGAGGCACUGGAUUUUGGGCUCGAAAAUUGAAAUUUUCACGCCAAAAUCAGGUUUGCAGCAUCUUCAAACUCGAUCAGAAGUGAGGCAUUCUUUUAAUGAGUUUAUGGAGGUGAUUCAUGGCUCAGCAAAUCAGAUGAAACAAGGUACUGCUCGAUCUAAUAUGGAAGUGGGUACGAUUUCAAUUCCUAUAUUGCAGCAAUUUGAUGAGGCUGCUGCUACUGAUAAUGCACCUAAUUUUGAUAAUAAUGUUGAAAUACCUAUGAAAUUGUAUCCAGAACAGAUUGUUUCUGAUAAUGUUGAUGUUAGUGAAAUUCAUAG